rnacentral:rRNA from 1 species
GAUGAACGCUGGCGGCGUGCCUAAUACAUGCAAGUCGAGCGAAGCGGGGACGGGUGAGUAACAGGUGGAUACCCUCCUAUAAGACUGGGAUAACUUCGGGAAACCGGAGCUAGAUCGGAUACUUAUAGAUGGAUCCUCGCUGCAUGAGCUAGUUGGUAAGGUAACGGCUUACCAAGGCAACGAUGCAUAGCCGACCUGAGAGGUGGAUCGCCACAACGGGAAUGGGGAAACGGCCCAGACUCCUACGGAAGGCGGCAGUAGGGAAUCUUCCGCAAGGGGGGAAAGCCGGACGAGGCAAGGCGGCGUGAGUGAGAAAGGUUUCCGGUUCGUAAACCUCUGUUAUUAGGGAGGCGGUACCUAAACAGAAAGCCACGGCUAACUACGUGCCAGCAGCCGCGGUAAUUC